rnacentral:rRNA from 1 species
AAAGGGGCUUCGGCCCUGAGUAGAGUGGCGAACGGGUGAGUAACACGUGGGUGACCUACCUUCGAGUGGGGGAUAACGUCCCGAAAGGGACGCUAAUACCGCAUGACAUCCUGCUUUUGAAGAGGCGGAGAUCAAAGCCGGGGAUCGUAAGACCUGGCGCUUGAAGAGGGGCUCGCGUCCGAUUAGCUAGUUGGUGAGGUAACGGCUCACCAAGGCGACGAUCGGUAGCCGGCCUGAGAGGGCGGACGGCCACACUGGGACUGAGACACGGCCCAGACUCCUACGGGAGGCAGCAGUGGGGAAUUGUUCGCAAUGGGCGCAAGCCUGACGACACAACGCCGCGUGGAGGAUGAAGGUCUUCGGAUUGUAAACUCCUGUUGCCCGGGACGAAUGGCCCUGACCUAACACGUCAGGGUGUGACGGUACCGGGUGAGGAAGCCCCGGCUAACUCUGUGCCAGCAGCCGCGGUAAUACAGAGGGGGCAAGCGUUGUUCGGAAUUACUGGGCGUAAAGGGCGCGUAGGCGGCCCGCUAAGUCGAACGUGAAAUCCCUGGGCUCAACCCAGGAACUGCGUCCGAUACUGGCAGGCUUGAAUCCGGGAGAGGGAUGUGGAAUUCCAGGUGUAGCGGUGAAAUGCGUAGAUAUCUGGAGGAACACCGGUGGCGAAGGCGGCAUCCUGGACCGGUAUUGACGCUGAUGCGCGAAAGCCAGGGGAGCAAACGGGAUUAGAUACCCCGGUAGUCCUGGCCCUAAACGAUGAAUGCUUGGUGUGGCGGGUAUCGAUCCCUGCCGUGCCGAAGCUAACGCAUUAAGUAUUCCGCCUGGGGAGUACGGUCGCAAGGCUGAAACUC